CUGGCUGCUGAUUUGUUAGGCUAAGAAGGACCUAACGGAGGUUACCCACAAGGUCUACUUCGAUGUCGAGAUUGACAGCAAGCCCGCAGGUCGGAUUGUCAUGGGGCUUUUUGGGAAGACUGUUCCUAAGACAGCAGAGAACUUCCGAGCUCUUUGCACAGGUAUGUUUUAUGCUAUUAUCACC